rnacentral:rRNA from 1 species
AACGAACGCUGGCGGCAUGCCUAACACAUGCAAGUCGAACGAGACCUUCGGGUCUAGUGGCGCACGGGUGCGUAACGCGUGGGAACCUGCCCUUAGGUUCGGAAUAACUCCCCGAAAGGGGUGCUAAUACCGGAUAAUGUCUUCGGACCAAAGAUUUAUCGCCUUUGGAUGGGCCCGCGUUGGAUUAGCUAGUUGGUAGGGUAAAAGCCUACCAAGGCGACGAUCCAUAGCUGGUCUGAGAGGAUGAUCAGCCACACUGGGACUGAGACACGGCCCAGACUACUACGGGAGGCAGCGGUGGGGAAUAUUGGACCAUGGGCGCAAGCCUGAUCCAGCAAUGCCGCGUGAGUGAUGAAGGCCUUAGGGUUGUAAAGCUCUUUUACCCGGGAUGAUAAUGACAGUACCGGGAGAAUAAGCUCCGGCUAACUCCGUG